GCAGAGGAGGUCCUUCUGUCUGAAGACGACAAAAACCCAGGGAACAAAUAUGAUGCCAAGCGGCGGAACACCAUCAAGAAGACUAAAACAGACCUGCUGAACCCAGAGGAAGGAGAGGACCACUUAGGAGAUGCUGUUGGCUCUCCGUUCGGCAAAGGCGACAGCACACAGUUCAACAAUGGAGCGGCGGCG